CCUUGAGGCGUGGCUUCCGGAGCUAACGCGUUAAAUCGACCGCCUGGGGAGUACGGCCGCAAGGUUAAAACUCAAAUGAAUUGACGGGGGCCCCGCACAAGCGGUGGAGCAUGUGGUUUAAUUCGAUGCAACGCGAAGAACCUUACCUACUCUUGACAUCCAGAGAACUUUCCAGAGAUGGAUUGGUGCCUUCGGGAACUCUGAGACAGGUGCUGCAUGGCUGUCGUCAGCUCGUGUUGUGAAAUGUUGGGUUAAGUCCCGCAACGAGCGCAACCCUUAUCCUUUGUUGCCAGCGGUUCGGCCGGGAACUCAAAGGAGACUGCCAGUGAUAAACUGGAGGAAGGUGGGGAUGACGUCAAGUCAUCAUGGCCCUUACGAGUAGGGCUACACACGUGCUACAAUGGCGUAUACAAAGAGAAGCGACCUCGCGAGAGCAAGCGGACCUCAUAAAGUAUGUCGUAGUCCGGAUUGGAGUCUGCAACUCGACUCCAUGAAGUCGGAAUCGCUAGUAAUCGUAGAUCAGAAUGCUACGGUGAAUACGUUCCCGGGCCUUGUACACACCGCCCGUCACACCAUGGGAGUGGGUUGCAAAAGAAGUAUU
rnacentral:rRNA from 1 species